rnacentral:rRNA from 1 species
UACGUAGGGGGCAAGCGUUGUCCGGAAUCAUUGGGCGUAAAGCGCGUGUAGGCGGCUAGAUAAGUCUGCUCUGAAAGCCCGGGGCUCAACCCCGGGAGGCGGGUGGAUACUGUCUAGCUCGAGUCCGGAAGAGGAGUGUGGAAUUCCUGGUGUAGCGGUGAAAUGCGCAGAUAUCAGGAAGAACACCCGUGGCUAAGGCGGUUCUCUAGUACGGUACUGACGCUGAGACGCGAAAGCGUGGGGAGCGAACAGG